rnacentral:rRNA from 1 species
GUGGGGAAUCUUGCGCAAUGGGCGAAAGCCUGACGCAGCCAUGCCGCGUGAAUGAUGAAGGUCUUAGGAUUGUAAAAUUCUUUCACCGGGGACGAUAAUGACGGUACCCGGAGAAGAAGCCCCGGCUAACUUCGUGCCAGCAGCCGCGGUAAUACGAAGGGGGCUAGCGUUGCUCGGAAUUACUGGGCGUAAAGGGCGCGUAGGCGGAUCGUUAAGUCAGGGGUGAAAUCCCAGAGCUCAACUCUGGAACUGCCCUUGAUACUGGCGAUCUUGAGUGUGAGAGAGGUAUGGGGAACUCCGAGUGUAGAGGUGAAAUUCGUAGAUAUUCGGAAGAACACCAGUGGCGAAGGCGACAUACUGGCUCAUUACUGACGCUGAGGCGCGAAAGCGUGGGGAGCAAACAGGAUUAGAUACCCCUGUAGUCC